rnacentral:rRNA from 1 species
AUUGAACGCUGGCGGCAGGCCUAACACAUGCAAGUCGAGCGGCAGCGGAAAGUAGCUUGCUACUUUGCCGGCGAGCGGCGGACGGGUGAGUAAUGUCUGGGAAACUGCCUGAUGGAGGGGGAUAACUACUGGAAACGGUAGCUAAUACCGCAUGACCUCGCAAGAGCAAAGUGGGGGACCUUCGGGCCUCACGCCAUCGGAUGUGCCCAGAUGGGAUUAGCUAGUAGGUGGGGUAAUGGCUCACCUAGGCGACGAUCCCUAGCUGGUCUGAGAGGAUGACCAGCCACACUGGAACUGAGACACGGUCCAGACUCCUACGGGAGGCAGCAGUGGGGAAUAUUGCACAAUGGGCGCAAGCCUGAUGCAGCCAUGCCGCGUGUGUGAAGAAGGCCUUCGGGUUGUAAAGCACUUUCAGCGAGGAGGAAGGGGUUGAGUUUAAUACGCUCAAUCAUUGACGUUACUCGCAGAAGAAGCACCGGCUAACUCCGUGCCAGCAGCCGCGGUAAUACGGAGGGUGCAAGCGUUAAUCGGAAUUACUGGGCGUAAAAGCGCACGCAGGCGGUUUGUUAAGUCAGAUGUGAAAUCCCCGCGCUUAACGUGGGAACUGCAUUUGAAACUGGCAAGCUAGAGUCUUGUAGAGGGGGGUAGAAUUCCAGGUGUAGCGGUGAAAUGCGUAGAGAUCUGGAGGAAUACCGGUGGGGAGGCGGGCCCCCUGGACAGAACUGACGCUCAGGUGCGAAAGUUGGGGGAACAAACAGGAUUGUAUCCCCUGGGAGCUAGAGGCGAAUCCGCAGGGGAUGCCGCCUAUUGAACGCUUCGGGGGGGGGGGGGGGGCCAUGAACCAGUUUGUUCUAUAAAGGGCGUUUGGUAAUGGCUACUGA